CCUACGGGAGGCAGCAGUGAGGAAUAUUGGUCAAUGGCCGUAAGGCUGAACCAGCCAAGUCGCGUGAAGGAAGAAGGAUCUAUGGUUUGUAAACUUCUUUUAUAGGGGAAUAAAGGUAUCCACGUGUGGAUAUUUGCAUGUACCCUAUGAAUAAGCAUCGGCUAACUCCGUGCCAGCAGCCGCGGUAAUACGGAGGAUGCGAGCGUUAUCCGGAUUUAUUGGGUUUAACGGGUGCGUAGGUUGUUUUUUAAGUCAGCGGUGAAAGUUUGUGGCUCAACCAUAAAAUUGCCGUUGAAACUGGAAGACGUGAGUGUGUUUGAGGUAGGCGGAAUGCGUGGUGUAGCGGUGAAUUGCAUAGAUAUCACGCAGAACUCCGAUUGCGAAGGCAGCUUACUAAGCCAUAACUGACACUGAAGCACGAAAGCGUGGGGAUCAAACAGGAUUAGAUACCCGGGUAGUC
rnacentral:rRNA from 1 species